rnacentral:rRNA from 1 species
GACGAACGCUGGCGGCGUGCUUAACACAUGCAAGUCGAACGAAGAGCGAUGGAAGCUUGCUUCUAUCAAUCUUAGUGGCGAACGGGUGAGUAACGCGUAAUCAACCUGCCCUUCAGAGGGGGACAACAGUUGGAAACGACUGCUAAUACCGCAUACGAUCUAAUCUCGGCAUCGAGGAUAGAUGAAAGGUGGCCUCUACAUGUAAGCUAUCACUGAAGGAGGGGAUUGCGUCUGAUUAGCUAGUUGGAGGGGUAACGGCCCACCAAGGCGAUGAUCAGUAGCCGGUCUGAGAGGAGGAACGGCCACAUUGGGACUGAGACACGGCCCAGACUCCUACGGGAGGCAGCAGGGGGGAAUCUUCCGCAAUGGACGAAAGUCUGACGGAGCAACGCCGCGUGAGUGAUGACGGCCUUCGGGUUGUAAAGCUCUGUUAAUCGGGACGAAAGGCCUUCUUGCGAAUAGUGAGAAGGAUUGACGGUACCGGAAUAGAAAGCCACGGCUAACUACGUG